AAGGUAGGCUAAGUAAAUAAGCAAAUGGCAACGUGCCUUGCAGGAUAUCUCGAAAUGCUUAGAGAAAGGAUGUGGCAAUGCAGGACCGCUUCCAGAGAUUCCAGAGCUGCCCAGUAUUGCUGCAGAAGUCAUCAGCACGUAGAAGAAUACAGAGGACUUGUGCAUCAAACAUCUCAGUUAAUCCUCAGAACAAUUUGAGUGUUCCCAUUUGACUACUUGAGGUGACAUAGCCAAUAAGAGCUGGAGCCAGGACUCAGACAUAGGCCAUCAUUUCUAAGUAAAAUUAUUUUUCUAAGGAAAACAUUACACAUAUUAGAAGGAUGCAUUCCUCAGGGUUUUGUGAGACUGUGAAGAUAAUUAUUCGUGAUCAGAGAAGUGUUCUUGCUUCAGCAGUCUUGGGAUUGGCGUCUAUAGUCUGUACGGGCUUGGUAUCAUACACUACCCUUCCUGCAAUUUUUAUUCCAUUCUUCCUAUGGAUGGCUGGCUAACUUCAUACCCCCAUGUCAGUGUGUGUAUUCUGUAUGUAAAUAUGUUUAUAUUUAUAGAGCAUCAAUCAAUAUAAGCAUUAUUGAGAAAAAUGUGACCCGUAACACUGUGUUCUGGAUAAAAAUGUGAUUAGGAAUCACGCAAAGUGCUUACUGUGUAAGCCCAAGAACAAAGGCUUUCUGAAUCUUCUCAGGCAGUUCAGAUUUAAAGCACCAUCCAAACCUUGGAAAUACGACAGGGUGUGGUAGAAUUCAGCAAUAUGAGAAAACCAGCCCCUAAAAUGAUA
rnacentral:lncRNA from 10 species